rnacentral:rRNA from 1 species
UACGUAGGGAGCAAGCGUUGUCCGGAAUCAUUGGGCGUAAAAGAGCGCGUAGGCGGUCCGGUAAGUCGGUUGUGAAAACUGGGGGGCUCAACCCUCAGAGGCCGACCGAUACUGUCGGGCUAGAGUCCGGAAGAGGCGAGUGGAAUUCCUGGUGUACGGUGAAAUGCGCAGAUAUCAGGAGGAACACCAAUGGCGAAGGCAGCUCGCUGGGACGGUACUGACGCUGAGGCGCGAAAGCGUGGGGAGCAAACAGG